GUUUAUUGCCAGGUUAGUAAAAGUUACUUUGAAAUCUAAAGAAUUUGGCGGCAUUUUAUCUUUAUAGGGGAACCUGUUCUUUAAAUGAUGAUACACGUUUGGCUUUACUAGUUUCUAAAGUUUGUAUAUUUCCGUUAUAAGGGUAUUUAUUGGAUAAUAUUCUCUUAUUUUUUAAUUAAAAUUUAUUUCAGGUCAAGGUGCAGCUUAUAAAUUAGUUUGAGAUGGGUUACAAUUUUAUUAUAAAUACGAAUAUUUUUUUUUAAAUUUUGAAUUGAAGGUGGAUUUAUUAGUAAGUAUUUAUAAUUAUAAAUUCUGAAUUAGCUCUAAUUUGUGU
rnacentral:rRNA from 1 species